GGUUGUUUAUGUUGUCCUUAUGUGUUCUCUUUUCUUCUGGGUUUCCUCGACUUUAGUUUACCGUAGGAGGGGAAGAAAGGAAGAGGAGCGACGAGAAGAACGGAACCAGAGUACCGUCCGGCAACGUAGGCUAGGACCGGGCGAGGUCCUGAAAACACAGCGGCUGUACGUUAGUGGUCACGCACAGUUACCUAAACAAACGUUCUUGGGCUACCUCCAGUUACGACUACUAAAGAAGUUCCGUCGGCGGGAGCUGUUCGGAUCCCACUGGUUGUUCCAACCGAGGUUGCAGUGGAACUAGUUACAGUACGUCUAACGGCCUGAGUUGUGGGAGCCGUAGAGUUAGCGCGCGUAGCUGAUACGAGGGAACCCGGUCUUGGGUGGUGUAUGCGUGGGGGCGCGGUGACUCUAGGAGUGUCACGAGCUCCCCUGUGAUAUGCAACCUAAACAGUGUAGGUUGGACGGGCGGGGUCGGUCUUUGUUCAAGAAGAGCUUCCACGAGUUGUUUCCACUACACAAACAGAAGGGGCACCCCGAGUAGGUGAAGGUUAAGUUGGGGUUGGGGGUAGUCGGGCGGCAACGUUAACGGCGCGAGUCGUCGGUCUUGGGUCCCCGAUAGUGUUAACGGUUACGUCACAAACCCAGUCUGGGUGGUUAUAGGCUACUACAAGAACGGUUCCGCAAAGUCCACCUUUUCUUAUGUUAUCUGACCGAGGUCCGAGUCAAGACCCUCUUGUUGGUGUUGAUUCACUUUCCAACCGACUAAUGUGUCUUCUGGUCACGCGUUUAAUUCCUGUACAAACUCAAAGAUCUAUACAUAGGAUUAGAUAUUUUAUUUACCUCGUAUACGGUAAGGUAAGGCACAGACAUUACUCACUUACAUGAAGAUGGAAGUCUUAUUAACUGUUAUAGCAACAAAUAGUGUGCCUAUACUAGAGUAUAAUAAAAAAAACCAAGAUUACACAGCAUAAAGAGUAUUUAUAAAACCCAAGAAAAGGGGAACAAGGCU
rnacentral:rRNA from 1 species